AUUGUCUCAUUGUUUUCUCGUUUUUCACACUCAACUCAAGAUGCUCAUUGACUUAUCUACUUGAGCAGUUAGUAGAUGAAUUGUUAGUAUUCUCUAAAGGUUUGCCGACUAUAUCCAUUAUGGGGGACUCUUCUGCCUCAUACAUUCACAUGGUACGACAGCUGAUAGAGCUAGAAGUGUUUUAUCUUCAACAUGAGUAAAGAAGAGUGCAUGGAAGCCCUAUCCAAACAUGCAGGCAUCAAACCAGUCAUCACCUCCACUGUGUGGAAUGAACUGGAUAAGGAGAACAAGGAAUUCUUUGAGUCCUACUUCACUGGCUUAACCCAAAUCAAAGCUGAUAGAAUGUCAGAGGCGGAAUUUAGAAGAUGAUAUCAG